rnacentral:misc_RNA from 1 species
AAGUCGUAACAAGGUUUCCGUAGGUGAACCUGCGGAAGGAUCAUUACUGAGUGUUGGCCUUCUUAGGCCUAACCUCCCACCCGUGUUUACCAUACCUUUGUUGCUUUGGCGGGCCCACUGGGCUUGCCCCGGUCGCCGGGGGGUAUCUCACCCCCGGGCCCGCGCCCGCCGAAGCGCCUUUGAACCCUAUUAUGAAAAGACUGUCUGAGUGGAAAGCUAAAUUAUUAAAACUUUCAACAACGGAUCUCUUGGUUCCG